GGCCUGAAGGUCAUGAGUCUCUGGCCCAGCCCAACGCAGGGAGAAAAGGAAGGGCCAGACUUUCUCUUGUACUAGAGGUCUGAAUCCUGUAAGACUGAAGGAAGAACUCACAAGGGGCCACACUGCUGUCCAAGUUCUUCCUCAUGGCUGACCUUCUCCCUCUGCUGCCCUGGGCUCCCCAGGGGGCCCAGGAUGGGAACCAGGACUCGGCAGGAUCUCCAACUGAGCAACAGACACAGACUGACAAAGUCCAGGACCUCUCCCCUAAAUCCUGGAGGCUCUUGGGGGUGCCUACUAUUCACAUAACUCCAUCCAGUGAUGGAGAGUCACCUCCAGGCACCCCCACUACACCACGAUUUCAGACCUUGGACCUGGAGUGUCUGCCGCAGGACAGCACCACGCCCCACUCUGGCCGGAGCUCCCCCAGCAGCUCCCCGUCUCUUCGUAAGCGGCUUCAGCUCUUGCCCCCAAUCCGGCCCCCUCCGGCUUCUGAGCCAGAACCAGGCACCAUGGUGGAGAAGGGGUCUGACAGCUCCUCUGAGAAAAGUGGCGUGUCGGGGACACUCAGCACCCAGAGCCUGGGCAGCCGGAACUUCAUCCGCAACAGUAAGAAGAUGCAGAGCUGGUACAGUAUGCUGUGUCCCACAUACAAACAACGCAACGAGGACUUCCGGAAACUGUUCAGCAAACUUCCUGAAGCAGAGCGCCUCAUCGUGGAUUACUCCUGCGCCCUGCAGAGGGAGAUCCUCCUCCAGGGCCGCCUCUACCUCUCUGAGAACUGGAUCUGUUUCUACAGCAACAUCUUCCGCUGGGAGACCACAAUUUCCAUCCAGUUGAAGGAAGUGACCUGUCUGAAGAAGGAGAAGACGGCUAAGCUCAUCCCCAAUGCCAUUCAGAUCUGUACUGAGAGUGAGAAGCAUUUCUUCACUUCCUUCGGGGCCCGAGACCGCUGCUUCCUCCUCAUCUUCCGUCUCUGGCAGAACGCGCUGCUUGAAAAGACACUGAGUCCUCGAGAGCUUUGGCACCUGGUCCAUCAGUGCUAUGGCUCGGAGCUGGGCCUCACCAGUGAAGACGAAGACUAUGUCUGCCCCUUGCAACUGAAUGGUCUUGGGAGUCCCAAAGAGGUGGGAGACGUGAUCGCACUCAGCGACAUCAGUCCCUCGGGGGCGGCUGACCACAGCCAGGAGCCAAGCCCUGUGGGUUCAAGACGUGGCCGGGUCACCCCAAACCUCUCUCGAGCCAGCAGUGAUGCAGACCAUGGGGUGACCUGGCUGCACUGCUGCCUGACCUCUCCGGCCGGCUCCUCAUCAAUUCUGUCUUCCACAUGGGUGCUGAGCGUCUGCAGCAGAUGCUCUUCUCGGACUCUCCGUUCCUGCAAGGCUUCCUGCAGCAGCGCAAGUUCACAGAUGUGACCUUGAGCCCUUGGAGCAGUGACAGCAAGUGCCACCAGCGCAGAGUCCUGACCUACACCAUCCCCAUUAGCAACCAGCUAGGCCCCAAGAGCGCCUCUGUGGUGGAGACACAGACGCUGUUCCGGCGCGGCCCACAGGCGGGCGGGUGCGUGGUGGACUCUGAGGUGCUCACCCAGGGCAUCCCGUACCAGGACUACUUCUACACUGCCCACCGAUACUGUAUCCUGGGUCUGGCCCGGAACAAGGCCCGGCUUCGGUGAUCCCGAGUGUGCCCUAUCUCUACCUCACCUCAGUGGUCAGGGCUGCCUCCACCCAGCAUUGGAAGAGGUCAUUGUGAAUAGAAUAGUUGAUGUGCUCAGCUGUUCACUGAACCCCUGAGCAUGAGUUGAACAUAGAUAUUCUAGGUCUCAGGGACAAAGAUUCCCCUGUAAGGGACCUUAAACGUCACUGGGAAAAUUCCAGUGAAUUAAGUGAUUGCAGAAUGUUAUUCAGUUCACUACCUCACCUGGCUUUAGAGAAAUUCACAGGAGGCUGGAGUGAGAGAGCAAGGGGUUGUACUACGAUGAUCAAGGGUGGACCUUCUGAGAAAGGAAUAUUUUGUAAUAGAGGAAGGGGCUUCCAUUCAGAAUGGCCAAUACAAAGGCCCUGAAGUGGGAGCAUAGGAGUAGCUGGAGUAGAGAAGCAGGAGCAUGGGAGUAGCUGGAGUAGAGAAGCAGGAGCAUGGGAGUAGCUGGAGUAGAGACAUAGGAGUGAGGUGCAUUCACGGAAUCAGUUUGAGCCCAGAAGACCCUGAAUAAAUUCCACAGACAGGCUUCAUCUGGCUGUAAAUGGGAGUGGGAUAGGAGACCAAGAGAAGCCCACCCACUCUGCUGUCUAGGUGUAGAGGUAGGGGCUAGGACCAGUUGGGAGUGGCAAAAAGGACAAUAGUUGGAUUCUGGAUAGGUUUUGUUGAGAGCAGGGCCUAUAAUGUCAGCACUGAGGAGGCUGGGACCAGGGGAUCCUAGGUUCAAGGCUGCAGUGAGUUCAAAUUUGUAAGGGCCUAUUACAGGAUAAAAAAGACUGGUGUAGACUCCACUGGGGGAGGGCCUGAGGGUAGAGCUCAACCGUAGAACUCUUGCUUAGCAGAUAGGAAUUUCAGUCCCUAGUAUAGCCCCAAAUCAAUGGCAGUUAUAGGGAGACCCCUAAAGUGUGAUUUAAGUGUAAAUGUGGAUGGAGGAAGCCAAAGAGUCCAAGGCCUAGGUUUGAGGUGAUAAAGACCCUUCUCUGAAUUAGAAGUCUGGGGCUUGUAGAGUCCCCCUACAAACCUGACCUAGGUCCCUCUUGUCCUCCUCCUAGUGUAUCCUCAGAGAUCCGCUACCGAAAGCAACCGUGGAGCCUCGUAAAGUCGCUCAUUGAGAAGAACUCGUGGAGCGGCAUCGAAGAUUAUUUCCACCACCUGGAUCGAGAACUCGCCAAGGCAGAAAAGCUGUCCCUGGAGGAAGGAGGGAAAGAUACACGUGGACUACUGUCAGGCCUGCGGAGGAGGAAGCGGCCCCUGAGCUGGAGGGGGCACAGAGAUGGGCCUCAGCACCCAGACCCAGACCCCUGCACCCAGACCAGCAUGCACACCUCAGGUUCCCUCAGCUCUCGCUUCUCGGAACCAUCUGUGGAUCAGGGCCCCGGGGCAGGCAUCCCCAGCGCCCUGGUUCUCAUCAGCAUUGUCCUCAUCGUUCUCAUCGCCCUCAAUGCCCUCCUCUUCUACCGUCUCUGGUCUCUGGAGAGAACAGCCCAUACCUUUGAGUCCUGGCACAGCCUGGCACUGGCCAAGGGCAAGUUCCCCCAGACAGCCACGGAGUGGGCGGAGAUCUUGGCUCUGCAGAAGCACUUCCACAGCGUUGAGGUGCACAAGUGGAGGCAGAUCCUUCGAGCAUCCGUGGAGCUCCUGGAUGAGAUGAAGUUCUCCUUGGAGAAGCUACAUCAAGGAAUUACUGUCCCGGAUCCUCCCCUGGACACUCAGCCACAGCCUGAUGACAGUUUUCCCUGAGGACUCCUGAUUGAAAAGCCACACCCCUAAACGGACAGAAGGACACAUGGAACCCUGGCAGUCACUGCUGGCACAGUGCGAAUGCCGCCGGGAGGUUCCUGCCUGCCCCUCACUGUGGCCCUGCCAAGAGCCACACAGACCUGGGGACCAUAGAACCAAGAUGCACUUUAGAUCUGUGUGAGCGAUUCCAGCUGCCACUGCCUGCUCAGCCAGGGAGCUGGCCUGGUCUUUGGCAGACUCCCCCUCCAACUAACUUAUUUUGCCCAGCUGGGGUUGUGGGGGGCACCUUUUGGGGUGCACAAGAACCCUCUGGGUUUAAUGUAUUUAUUUGGGAAUAAUGACCCCAAUAAAGGGUUGGAAAUGGC